rnacentral:rRNA from 1 species
GUGGGGAAUAUUGGGCAAUGGGCGCAAGCCUGACCCAGCAACGCCGCGUGAAGGAAGAAGGCUUUCGGGUUGUAAACUUCUUUUACCAGGGACGAAACAAAUGACGGUACCUGGUGAAUAAGCCACGGCUAACUACGUGCCAGCAGCCGCGGUAAUACGUAGGUGGCGAGCGUUAUCCGGAUUUAUUGGGUGUAAAGGGCGUGUAGGCGGGACAGCAAGUCAGAUGUGAAAACCAGAGGCUCAACCUCUGGCCUGCAUUUGAAACUGUUGUUCUUGAGUGUCGGAGAGGUAAUCGGAAUUCCGUGUGUAGCGGUGAAAUGCGUAGAUAUACGGAGGAACACCAGUGGCGAAGGCGGCUUACUGGACUGUAACUGACGCUGAGGCGCGAAAGUGUGGGGAGCAAACAGGAUUAGAAACCCGAGUAGUCC